rnacentral:rRNA from 1 species
GACAGAGGCCCCAAGCGUUAAUCGGAAUUACUGGGCGUAAAGCGUGCGCAGGCGGUUUGUUAAGACAGAUGUGAAAUCCCCGGGCUUAACCUGGGAACUGCAUUUGUGACUGGCAAGCUAGAGUAUGGCAGAGGGGGGUAGAAUUCCACGUGUAGCAGUGAAAUGCGUAGAGAUGUGGAGGAAUACCGAUGGCGAAGGCAGCCCCCUGGGCCAAUACUGACGCUCAUGCACGAAAGCGUGGGGAGCAAACAGG